rnacentral:rRNA from 1 species
CAAUAGCGUAUAUUAAAGUUGUUGCAGUUAAAAAGCUCGUAGUUGAAUUUCUGUCAGGAGUGACCGGGCCUUUGGAUGAACUUCCAUUGUUUUUUGCUCUGUUUGUCAUCUCUAGACAUCCUGAAAUAUUUUUUAAAAAUAUUUCUCUUUUACUGUUAGCAAAAUAGAGUGUUCCAAGCAAAGCGUAGUUUUGAAUACAUUAGAAUGGAAUAAUAAGAUAGGACUUUGGAGCUAUUUUGUUGGUUUGCACACCAAGGUAAUGAUUAAUAGGGACAGUUGGGGGUAUUCGUAUUUAAUUGUCAGAGGUGAAAUUCUUGGAUUUAUGAAAGACGAACUACUGCGAAAGCAUUUACCAAGGAUGUUUUCAUUAA